GUCUACAUCCAUGCUACCCUGAACGAGCCCAAUCCUGUCUGAUCUCGGAAGCUAAGCAGUGUCAGGCCUUGGAUGGGAGACCACCUAGGAAGACCAGGUGCUGUAGGCG
rnacentral:rRNA from 1 species